GCCCUGCCUGCUUCAGCUUGACACCUGCAUUAAAUCGGCACAGCAAAGUUAAAGUUCUAGGCAAAGCAGACAUAAAAAAAAUUCUAACAGGAUAUAAAUACAAACAGCCUGCACAGUCACACUCUCAGUACUAUACUAGUAGCUCGAUAAUAGCUCCGAAGGACAUGAUAAUUCUUAUUUUUGCUGAUGCCAAAAGGCUGUGGGUAAUAGUAAAUCACAACAUCAUCAUGACAAAGCAAUUUGAUGGAAUAAUUACACGAAGUAUGAAUAUUCGUACAGAAAAUGAUUACCGAGUGAUUUACAACAAACAAGUUGUCACUGCCCAACAAACUUACUAGAUGUGGAGAAGAAAUCCGU
rnacentral:misc_RNA from 1 species